rnacentral:rRNA from 1 species
UACAGAGGGUGCAAGCGUUAAUCGGAAUUACUGGGCGUAAAGCGUGCGUAGGCGGAUGCUUAAGUCAGAUGUGAAAGCCCUGGGCUUAACCUAGGAAUUGCAUCUGAUACUGGGCGUCUAGAGUAUGGUAGAGGAUGGCGGAAUUUCCGGUGUAGCGGUGAAAUGCGUAGAUAUCGGAAGGAACACCAGUGGCGAAGGCGGCCAUCUGGGCCAAUACUGACGCUGAGGUACGAAAGCGUGGGUAGCAAACAGG